CCAAGGGAGCAAGUGAGUCACUUCUGGGCAGGAAGGAAGCCCCCGCUGAGGGGAGGCGGCACGAUGACCCUCAGUGGGCUCCUUCCCGCGCUCCUCACCAUGCAGUCUGCAAAGAGUGCAGCCUGGGAUGGCCCCGGCGAGGCGAGGCUGGAGCUGGCGCGCUCCUGGGCCACCUCACCUUCCGUCACCUUCUUGCUAUGAUGAGCAGGCCCCACGGGAACCGGACAGGGAAGGCCUGGGCGAGCUCAGCUUCAGCCCAGAUGAAGAGUUCAAGCAGGAGGAAGAAGAGUCCUCUGAGCCCAUGGAGUGUCACACCACACCCUAUAGUGUGUGUACUCCUUGAAGAGACGGCUGUGCGAAGGAUGGAAGAGGCCAAGUCCUCCCAGAAAGUUGUAAUUGCCCCUGUCAAUCUGUCUUACAUAACCUCCCCUGGGGCUUGGUUCAUACAAUGCUAAUCCAGAUCUCAGCCAGAAGGGCCUGCCUGCUUGCAGAUCAUCUUGUCUUUGAUUGUCUUUCUCUGAGAAAAGCUAGCCAAAGAAGAUUCUGCUGGCAGAAGAACAUCCAUGCCUAAUCUCAGCCCCUUACAGACUGUAUAUCUUUGAGACAAGAUUGGACUGGCAACUUCACAGUAUUAAUGAACUUAUUUUGUUCAUAUUUAUUGCUUUACAUCUGUGUACAGCAUCCUGGAGCUACGCCGAUUGCCAGAGGUUACAGGAACAUUAAACCCUUCAUAAGUACGCACUCAAACUGGAAAGAAGGGUUACCGGUUUUAA